GGUGGUUCAGUGGUAGAAUUCUCGCCUGCCACGCUGGAGGCCUGGGUUCGUUUCCCGGCC
rnacentral:tRNA from 1 species